rnacentral:rRNA from 1 species
AUUGAACGCUGGCGGCAUGCCUUACACAUGCAAGUCGAACGGCAGCACGGGAGCAAUCCUGGUGGCGAGUGGCGAACGGGUGAGUAAUAUAUCGGAACGUGCCCAGUCGUGGGGAUAACGUAGCGAAAGCUACGCUAAUACCGCAUACGAUCUACGGAUGAAAGCGGGGGAUCGCAAGACCUCGCGCGAUUGGAGCGGCCGAUAUCAGAUUAGGUAGUUGGUGAGGUAAAGGCUCACCAAGCCGACGAUCUGUAGCUGGUCUGAGAGGACGACCAGCCACACUGGGACUGAGACACGGCCCAGACUCCUACGGAGGCAGCAGUGGGGAAUUUUGGACAAUGG